GACGAACGCUGGCGGCGUGCCUAAUACAUGCAAGUAGGACGCAGUUGCGAACGGGUGAGUAACGCGUAGGUAACUACCUAUUAGAGGGGGAUAACUAUUGGAAACGAUAGCUAAUACCGCAUACUAGUAGAUGGACCUGCGUUGUAUUAGCUAGUAGGUAGGGUAAUGGCCUACCUAGGCAACGAUACAUAGCCGACCGUGGGGGGUGAUCUGGCAACCUGGGACUGAGACACGGCCCAGAAUCCUACGGGAGGCAGCCGUAGGGAAACUUCGGCAAUGGGGGGAACCCUGACCGGGCAACGGCGGGUGAGUGAAGAAUGUUUUCGGAUCGUAAAGCUCUGUUGUUAAGGAAGCGGUACUUAACCAGAAAGGGACGGCUAACUUCGUGCCAGCAGCCGCGGUAAUUC
rnacentral:rRNA from 1 species